CUACGGAGGGUGCAAGCGUUACUCGGAAUCACUGGGCGUAAAGCGCGCGCAGGCGGUCUUUUAAGUUGGAUGUGAAAGCCUACGGCUCAACCGUAGAACUGCAUCCAAAACUAUUAGACUAGAGUGUGGGAGAGGAAGAUGGAAUUAGUUGUGUAGGGGUAAACUCCGUAGAGAUAACUAGGAAUACCAAAAGCGAAGGCAAUCUUCUGGAACACUACUGACGCUGAGGCGCGAAAGCGUGGGGAGCAAACAGGAUUAGAUACCCUAGUAGUCC
rnacentral:rRNA from 1 species